rnacentral:lncRNA from 1 species
CAGAAGUCAGGUCGGAUUAAGCCAUAGUACGGAAAAAACUAUGCUACCUGUGAGCCCCGUCCAAGGACGUUAAAAGAAGUCAGGCCACCACAAGUGCCAUAGCUUGAGUAAACUAUGCAGCCUGUAGCUCCACCUGAGAAGGUGUAAAAAAUCUGGGAGGCCACAAACCAUGGAAGCUGUACGCAUGGCGUAGUGGACUAGCGGUUAGAGGAGACCCCUCCCUUACAAAUCGCAGCAACAAUGGGGGCCCAAGGUGAGAUGAAGC